GCUAAUGUAGCUCAAUUGGUAGAGCAACUGAUUUGUAAUCAGUUGGUUGCAGGUUCAACUCCUGUCAUUAGCU
rnacentral:tRNA from 1 species